UUUGCAGCACUGCAGCGUUGCUUGCGAUACAUCCAAAAGUUCUUUUGCGCGCCAUCUGAUGAAAUUUAUCUUUCAGCAAUUUCCUUCUGAAAAAGGUGAAUAUUAAAAUAUCACAUUUCAUUUUUGGAUUAAUU